rnacentral:rRNA from 1 species
UGAACGCUGGCGGCGUGCCUAAUACAUGCAAGUCGAGCGAGGUAGCUUGCUACCUAGCGGCGAACGGGUGAGUAACACGUAGGUAACCUGCCUUAAGACUGGGAUACCCGGACGAAAGUUCGGCUAAUACCGGAUAACAACGGAGAUGGCAUCUUCUCCGCUUGAAAGGUGCGUUUGCACCACUUUUAGAUGGACCUGCGGCACAUUAGCUAGUUGGUGAGAUAACAGCCCACCAAGGCGAGGAUGUGUAGCCGACCUGAGAGGGUGACCGGCCACAAUGGGACUGAGACACGGCCCAUACUCCUACGGGAGGCAGCAGUAGGGAGUUUUCGGCAAUGGGCGAAAGCCAGACCGAGCAACGCCGCGUGAGUGAUGAAGGUCUUCGGAUUGUAAAGCUCUGUUGCGAGGGACGAAACGUACGAUCAGGAAAUGGGUCGUAUUUGACUAUACCUCGCCAGAAAGUGACGGCUAACUACGUGCCAGCCGCCGC